GACGUAGGGGGCGAGCGUUGUCCGGAAUUAUUGGGCGUAAAGAGCUCGUAGGCGGUCUGUCGCGUCGGCUGUGAAAACCCGGAGCUCAACUCCGGGCCUGCAGUCGAUACGGGCAAACUGGAGUGUUGCAGGGGAGACUGGAAUUCCUGGUGUAGCGGUGAAAUGCGCAGAUAUCAGGAGGAACACCGGUGGCGAAGGCGGGUCUCUGGGCAACAACUGACGCUGAGGAGCGAAAGCGUGGGGAGCGAACAGG
rnacentral:rRNA from 1 species